AGGGAAUCUUCCACAAUGGACGCAAGUCUGAUGGAGCAACGCCGCGUGAGUGAAGAAGGCUUUCGGGUCGUAAAACUCUGUUGUUGGAGAAGAAUGGUCGGCAGAGUAACUGUUGUCGGCGUGACGGUAUCCAACCAGAAAGCCACGGCUAACUACGUGCCAGCAGCCGCGGUAAUACGUAGGUGGCAAGCGUUAUCCGGAUUUAUUGGGCGUAAAGCGAGCGCAGGCGGUUUUUUAAGUCUGAUGUGAAAGCCCUCGGCUUAACCGAGGAAGUGCAUCGGAAACUGGGAAACUUGAGUGCAGAAGAGGACAGUGGAACUCCAUGUGUAGCGGUGAAAUGCGUAGAUAUGUGGAAGAACACCAGUGGCGAAGGCGGCUGUCUGGUCUGUAACUGACGCUGAGGCUCGAAAGCAUGGGUAGCGAACAGGAUUAGAUACCCUGGUAGUCCAUGCCGUAAACGAUGAAUGCUAGGUGUUGGAG
rnacentral:rRNA from 1 species